GAUGAACGCUGGCGGCGUGCCUAAUACAUGCAAGUCGAGCGAACGGACGAGAAGCUUGCUUCUCUGAUGUUAGCGGCGGACGGGUGAGUAACACGUGGAUAACCUACCUAUAAGACUGGGAUAACUUCGGGAAACCGGAGCUAAUACCGGAUAAUAUUUUGAACCGCAUGGUUCAAAAGUGAAAGACGGUCUUGCUGUCACUUAUAGAUGGAUCCGCGCUGCAUUAGCUAGUUGGUAAGGUAACGGCUUACCAAGGCAACGAUGCAUAGCCGACCUGAGAGGGUGAUCGGCCACAUUGGAACUGAGACACGGUCCAGACUCCUACGGGAGGCAGCAGUAGGGAAUCUGCCGCAAUGGGCGAAAGCCUGACGGAGCAACGCCGCGUGAGUGAUGAAGGUCUUCGGAUCGUAAAACUCUGUUAUUAGUGAAGAACAUAUGUGUAAGUAACUGUGCACAUCUUGACGGUACCUAAUCAGAAAGCCACGGCUAACUACGUG
rnacentral:rRNA from 1 species